AGUGAACGCUGGCGGUAGGCCUAACACAUGCAAGUCGAACGGCAGCACAGUGAGAGCUUGCUCUUACGGGUGGCGAGUGGCGGACGGGUGAGGAAUACAUCGGAAUCUACUUUUUCGUGGGGGAUAACGUAGGGAAACUUACGCUAAUACCGCAUACGACCUACGGGUGAAAGCAGGGGAUCUUCGGACCUUGCGCGAUUGAAUGAGCCGAUGUCGGAUUAGCUAGUUGGCGGGGUAAAGGCCCACCAAGGCGACGAUCCGUAGCUGGUCUGAGAGGAUGAUCAGCCACACUGGAACUGAGACACGGUCCAGACUCCUACGGGAGGCAGCAGUGGGGAAUAUUGGACAAUGGGCGCAAGCCUGAUCCAGCUAUACCGCGUGGGUGAAGAAGGCCUUCGGGUUGUAAAGCCCUUUUGUUGGGAAAGAAAAGCAGCAGGUUAAUACCCCGCUGUUCUGACGGUACCCAAAGAAUAAGCACCGGCUAACUUCGUG
rnacentral:rRNA from 1 species